rnacentral:rRNA from 1 species
GUCGAGCGGCAGAUGGGAGCUUGUCCCUGAUGUUAGCGGCGGAGGGUGAGUAACACGUGGGUAACCUGCCUGUAAGACUGGGAUAACUCCGGGAAACCGGGGCUAAUACCGGAUGCUUGUUUGAACCGCAUGGUUCAAACAUAAAAGGUGGCUUCGGCUACCACUUACAGAUGGACCCGCGGCGCAUUAGCUAGUUGGUGAGGUAAUGGCUCACCAAGGCAACGAUGCGUAGCGACCUGAGAGGGUGAUCGGCCACACUGGGACUGAGACACGGCCAGACUCCUACGGGAGGCAGCAGUAGGGAAUCUUCCGCAUGGACGAAAGUCUGACGGACACGCGCGUGAGUGAUGAGGUUUCGGAUCGUAAAGCUCU